rnacentral:lncRNA from 1 species
AUUUGGUGCUGAUGCCAUUUUCAGCCUCAGCACGCCUGCACCCAGGCGCUCAUUAAAACAGCAUGUUGCUCCCCACUGCCUCGUGUUGUCUGUUGGCGCGCUGUCGGGGUUCGAACCGAUACAAGAACCUUCCACCUACCUGGUGCUUUGGCCUCAUCUAUAAGCUUUUCCACUGUCCUGAAACAAGAUAGAGAAUCUGAGCGGCCAGUCAUCUGCCCUAAGUGCUGCCGCCGAAGACUGAAUGUCCUGGAAAGUUUGCUGUCACAUCUCCAUUAUGACAAAAGCAUUGUGCCGAACAGAUGAAAAAAUGCAUUGUCAACGGAAUCUUUUAUGUUUGUUUGUCUUCCUUUAAGCAACAUUGCCUUACUUGUUAUAAAAGAUAAAUAAAUAUUUGUUCAUUUCAA